rnacentral:rRNA from 1 species
AUUGAACGCUGGCGGCAGGCCUAACACAUGCAAGUCGAACGGUAACAGGAAACAGCUUGCUGUUUCGCUGACGAGUGGCGGACGGGUGAGUAAUGUCUGGGAAACUGCCUGAUGGAGGGGGAUAACUACUGGAAACGGUAGCUAAUACCGCAUAACGUCGCAAGCCCAAAGAGGGGGACCCUCGGGCCUCUUGCCAUCGGAUGUGCCCAGAUGGGAUUAGCUUGUUGGUGGGGUAACGGCUCACCAAGGCGACGAUCCCUAGCUGGUCUGAGAGGAUGACCGGCCACACUGGAACUGAGACACGGUCCAGACUCCUACGGGAGGCAGCAGUCGGGAAUAUUGCACAAUGGGCGCAAGCCUGAUGCAGCCAGGCCGCGUGUAUGAAGAAGGCCUUCGGGUUGUAAAGUACUUUCAGCGGGGAGGAAGGGAGUAAAGUUAAUACCUUUGCUCAUUGACGUUACCCGCAGAAGAAGCACCGGCUAACUCCGUG